GACGAACGCUGGCGGCGUGCUUAACACAUGCAAGUCGAACGGAAAGGCCCUGCUUUUGUGGGGUGCUCGAGUGGCGAACGGGUGAGUAACACGUGAGUAACCUGCACUUGACUUUGGGAUAACUUCAGGAAACUGGGGCUAAUACCGGAUAGGAGCUCCUGCUGCAUGGUGGGGGUUGGAAAGUUUCGGCGGUUGGGGAUGGACUCGCGGCUUAUCAGCUUGUUGGUGGGGUAGUGGCUUACCAGGGCUUUGACGGGUAGCCGGCCUGAGAGGGUGACCGGCCACAUUGGGACUGAGAUACGGCCCAGACUCCUACGGGAGGCAGCAGUGGGGAAUAUUGCACAAUGGGCGGAAGCCUGAUGCAGCAACGCCGCGUGCGGGAUGACGGCCUUCGGGUUGUAAACCGCUUUCGCCUGUGACGAAGCGUGAGUGACGGUAAUGGGUAAAGAAGCACCGGCUAACUACGUG
rnacentral:rRNA from 1 species